GGAGUUUGGACCGUGUCUCAGUUCCAAUGUGGGGGACCUUCCUCUCAGAACCCCUACUGAUCGAUGGCUCGGUGGGCCGUUACCCCGCCGACUACCUAAUCAGACGCAUCCCCAUCCCAUAGCGGUAAACCUUUGCUCCGAAUUAGAUGCCCGCUUCGGAAAACAUAGGGUAUUAAUCCGAUUUUCACCGGGCUAUGCCCUACUACGGGGAAGGUUGGAUACGCGUUACUCACCCGUGCGCCGGUCGCCAUCAGAGUUUGCAAGCAAACUCCAUGCUGCCCCUCGACUUGCAUGUGUUAAGCCUGUAGCUAGCGUUCAUC
rnacentral:rRNA from 1 species